GGUGCUGUGUCACCCUGAUGCUUGGUCAGUCCCAUGCCGAUGUCAUCACACAGGUUGGUGCUGCGCCACACUGAUGCUUGGUCAGUACUGUGCUGAUGUCGGUGCACAGUUAGUGCUGUGCCACACCAACGCUCGGUCAGUACCACGUAGAUAUCAGUGCAUGGGUUAGUGUUGUGUCACACUGAUGCUUGGUCAAUACCAUGCAUGGGUUAAUGCUGCACCACACCGAUGCUUGGUCAGUAUCGUGUCAAUUUUGGUGCACAGAUUAGUGCUGGGCCAUGCUGACGCUUGGUCAGUACUGUGCCAAUGUUGGCUUACAGGUUAGUGCUGUGCCACACCAAUGCUUG
rnacentral:lncRNA from 1 species